GGCACCGUGGCAGAGUGGUUAAUGCGUCAGAUUCGAACGCCAGCGGUUGAGCUGCAGAAUUUCUUCAUCUGAUCCUUUCGAGGGCGUGCGUUCGAAUCGCACCGGUGUCG